GCUGGGCAUGAUGGUGUGUGCCUGUAAACCGAGCUACUUGGGAGGCUGAGGUGGGAGGAUUGCUUGAGCCCAGGAGUUCUAACCUGCAGUAAGCUAUGAUGGUGCCACUGCACUGUAGCCUGGGCAACAGAGCAAGACUCUGUCUCAA
ensembl:misc_RNA Metazoa_SRP Metazoan signal recognition particle RNA